UUUGGAUUAAUCCCCUAUAACAUCAUUUAUUCGCAUGAUUAAAUGAUUAAAGCUUCGGCGGUAAAAGAUGAGCAUGCGUCCUAUUAGUUUGUAGGUGAGGUAACGGCUCACCUAGACUACGAUAGGUAGGGGCCCUGAGAGGGGGACCCCCCACACUGGUACUGAGACACGGACCAGACUCCUACGGGAGGCAGCAGUGAGGAAUAUUGGACAAUGGACGAAAGUCUGAUCCAGCUAUGCCGCGUGCAGGAUGACGGCCCUACGGGUUGUAAACUGCUUUUAUACAGGA
rnacentral:rRNA from 1 species